rnacentral:rRNA from 1 species
CAGUAGCCGCGGUAAUACGUAGGGUGCGAGCGUUGUCCGGAAUUACUGGGCGUAAAGAGCUCGUAGGCGGUUUGUCGCGUCGUCUGUGAAAUUCUGCAGCUUAACUGUAGGCGUGCAGGCGAUACGGGCAGACUUGAGUACUACAGGGGAGACUGGAAUUCCUGGUGUAGCGGUGAAAUGCGCAGAUAUCAGGAGGAACACCGGUGGCGAAGGCGGGUCUCUGGGUAGUAACUGACGCUGAGGAGCGAAAGCGUGGGUAGCGAACAGGAUUAGACCCCCGUAGUCCCUGUCUCUUAUACAC